rnacentral:rRNA from 1 species
GUGGGGAAUCUUAGACAAUGGGCGCAAGCCUGAUCUAGCCAUGCCGCGUGAGCGAUGAAGGCCUUAGGGUUGUAAAGCUCUUUCGUGGGGGAAGAUAAUGACUGUACCCCAAGAAGAAGCCCCGGCUAACUCCGUGCCAGCAGCCGCGGUAAUACGGAGGGGGCUAGCGUUGUUCGGAAUUACUGGGCGUAAAGCGCACGUAGGCGGACUGGAAAGUCAGGGGUGAAAUCCCGGGGCUCAACCCCGGAACUGCCUUUGAAACUCCCAGGCUUGAGUUCGAGAGAGGUGAGUGGAAUUCCGAGUGUAGAGGUGAAAGUCGUAGAGAUUCGGAGGAACACCAGUGGCGAAGGCGGCUCACUGGCUCGAUACUGACGCUGAGGUGCGAAAGCGUGGGGAGCAAACAGGAUUAGAAACCCUGGUAGUCC